rnacentral:rRNA from 1 species
CCCUUAGAGUUUGAUCCUGGCUCAGGACGAACGCUUGCGGCGUGCCUAACACAUGCAAGUCGAGCGAAUGAAGUUCCUUCGGGAACGGAUUUAGCGGCGGACGGGUGAGUAACACGUGGGCAACCUGCCUCAUAGAGGGGAAUAGCCUUCCGAAAGGGAUAUUAAUACCGCAUAAGAUUGUAGUACCGCAUGGUACAGCAAUUAAAGGAGUAAUCCGCUAUGAGAUGGGCCCGCGGCGCAUUAGCUAGUUGGUGAGGUAACGGCUCACCAAGGCGACGAUGCGUAGCCGACCUGAGAGGGUGAUCGGCCACAUUGGGACUGAGACACGGCCCACACUCCUACGGGAGGCAGCAGUGGGGAAUAUUGCUCUGUGGGGGAAACCGUGAUGCAGCAACGCCGCGUGAGUGAUGACGGCCUUCGGGUUGUAAAGCUCUGUCUUCAGGGACGAUAAUGACGGUACCUGAGGAGGAAGCCACGGCUAACUACGUGCCAGCAGCCGCGGUAAUACGUAGGUGGCGAGCGUUGUCCGGAUUUACUGGGCGUAAAGGGGGCGUAGGCGGAUUUUUAAGUGAGAUGUGAAAUACUCGGGCUUAACCUGAGUGCUGCAUUUCAAACUGGAAGUCUAGAGUGCAGGAGAGGAGAAGGGAAUUCCUAGUGUAGCGGUGAAAUGCGUAGAGAUUAGGAAGAACACCAGUGGCGAAGGCGCUUCUCUGGACUGUAACUGACGCUGAGGCUCGAAAGCGUGGGUAGCAAAUAGGAUUAGAUACCCUGGUAGUCCACGCCGUAAACGAUGAGUACUAGGUGUCGGGGGUUACCCCCCUCGGUGCCGCAGCUAACGCAUUAAGUACUCCGCCUGGGGAGUACGCUCGCAAGAGUGAAACUCAAAGGAAUUGACGGGGACCCGCACAAGUAGCGGAGCAUGUGGUUUAAUUCGAUGCUACGCGAGGAACCUUACCCGGGCUCGAACGGUGCAUGAAUAUACGAGAGAUUGUAUAGUCCUUCGGGACAUGUAUCGAGGUGCUGCAUGGUUGUCGUCAGCUCGUGCCGUGAGGUGUCGGCUUAAGUGCCAUAACGAGCGCAACCCUUGUCAUUAGUUGCCAUCAGGUCAAGCUGGGGACUUUAAUGAGACUGCCACCGUAAGGUGUGAGGAAGGGGGGGAUGACGUCAAAUCAGCACGGCCCUUAUGUCCGGGGCGACACACGUGUUACAAUGGGAGGUACAGAGGGCAGCUAUCCGGUGACGGAAUGCUAAUCUCCAAAACCUUUCUCAGUUCGGAUUGGAGUCUGCAACUCGACUCCAUGAAGGUGGAUUCGCUAGUAAUCGCGCAUCAGCCAUGGCGCGGUGAAUACGUUCCCGGGCCUUGCACUCACCGCCCGUCA